GACAGAGGGUGCAAACGUUGUUCGGAAUUACUGGGCGUAAAGCGUGUGUAGGCGGCCGCGCAAGUCGGAUGUGAAAGCCCUGGGCUCAACCCAGGAAGUGCACCCGAUACUGCAUGACUCGAGUACUGGAGAGGUUGGUGGAAUUCUCGGUGUAGAGGUGAAAUUCGUAGAUAUCGAGAGGAACACCUGUGGCGAAAGCGGCGCACUGGACCACUUCUGACGCUGAGGCGCGAAAGCUAGGGGAGCAAACAGG
rnacentral:rRNA from 1 species